rnacentral:rRNA from 1 species
UGAGCAACCUACCGAAAUGAGGGGGAUAGCCGGCCCAACGACCGGGUAAUACCGCAUACGCUCGAGACCAGGCAUUUGGACUCGAGGAAACCUCCGGGGCAUUUCGAGGGGCUCGCGGCCUAUCAGCUAGUUGGUGAGGUAACGCUCACCAAGGCGACGACGGGUAGCUGGUCUGAGAGGAUGGCCAGCCACAUUGGGACUGAGAUACCGGCCCAGACCUCCGUACGGGAGCAG